rnacentral:rRNA from 1 species
AUUGAACGCUGGCGGCAUGCCUUACACAUGCAAGUCGAACGGAUUCUUGGGGCUUGCUCCAAGAGUUAGUGGCGAACGGGUGAGUAAUGCAUCGGAACGUGCCCAAUCGUGGGGGAUAACGUAGCGAAAGUUACGCUAAUACCGCAUACGUCCUGAGGGAGAAAGCAGGGGACUCGCAAGAGCCUUGCGCGAAUGGAGCGGCCGAUGUCGGAUUAGCUAGUUGGCGGGGUAAAGCCCACCAAGGCGACGAUCCGUAGCUGGUCUGAGAGGACGACCAGCCACACUGGGACUGAGACACGGCCCAGACUCCUACGGGAGGCAGCAGUGGGGAAUUUUGGACAAUGGGCGAAAGCCUGAU